CCGCCAGCAGUUUCGAAAUGUAUGGGAUAAGCGGUAGGUUCAGAAUGAGCAGAACAAUGUUACCGACAUACAUCGAGAUGAUGACUGACCAGAACACAUCCGGGUGAUCGACAAACAGACGUGGGCC
rnacentral:ncRNA from 1 species